rnacentral:rRNA from 9 species
CCGGCCGUACUCAUAACCGCACCAGGUCUCCAAGGUGAGUAGCCUCGAGUCGGUAGACGAAGGUAAGUAAGGGAAGUCGGCAAAAUGGAUCCGUAACUUCGGGAUAAGGAUUGGCUCUAAGGGUUGAGCGUUGUUGUAUGCUCCUUGCGGCUCUUGGGCUCGAUUUUGGAGAAUUCGAUGACCUCGAUCCUCCACUAGCUCAUGCCAUGCUUUUUUGUGAGGAGCUGUAGAGAGAUGUUGAUCUUCAGAUCUUUUUUGUUUCCUCUUGAUCACUCUCUGAUCUACAAUACACGAAUGCAAAUAAAACAACCAGCUUAGAACUGGUACGGACAAGGGGAAUCCGACUGU